UAGAUAUGGGGCGUCGCCAAGUGGUAAAGGCUGCAGGUUUUGGUCAUGUUAUUCGGAGGUUUGAAUCCUUCCAUCCCAGACUUUUUAUUAA